rnacentral:rRNA from 1 species
GUAGGUGGCAAGCGUUGUCCGGAAUUAUUGGGCGUAAAGCGCGCGCAGGCGGUCCUUUAAGUCUGAUGUGAAAGCCCACGGCUCAACCGUGGAGGGUCAUUGGAAACUGGGGGACUUGAGUACAGAAGAGGAAAGCGGAAUUCCAAGUGUAGCGGUGAAAUGCGUAGAGAUUUGGAGGAACACCAGUGGCGAAGGCGGCUUUCUGGUCUGUAACUGACGCUGAGGCGCGAAAGCGUGGGGAGCAAACAGGAUUAGAUACCCUGGUAGUCCACGCCGUAAACGAUGAGUGCUUAGUGUUAGGGGGUUUCCCGCCCCCCUUAGUGCUGCAGCUAACGCAUUAAGCACUCCGCCUGGGGAGUACGGCCGCAAGGCUG